rnacentral:rRNA from 1 species
GACGAACGCUGGCGGUGUGCUUAACACAUGCAAGUCGAACGGUAAGGCCCUUCGGGGUACACGAGUGGCGAACGGGUGAGUAACACGUGGGUGAUCUGCCCUGCACUUCGGGAUAAGCCUGGGAAACUGGGUCUAAUACCGGAUAGGACUCCGGACUGCAUGGUCUGGGGUGGAAAGCUUUUGCGGUGUGGGAUGGGCCCGCGGCCUAUCAGCUUGUUGGUGGGGUGAUGGCCUACCAAGGCGACGACGGGUAGCCGGCCUGAGAGGGUGACCGGCCACACUGGGACUGAGAUACGGCCCAGACUCCUACGGGAGGCAGCAGUGGGGAAUAUUGCACUAUGGGCGCAAGCCUGAUGCAGCGACGCCGCGUGAGGGAUGACGGCCUUCGGGUUGUAAACCUCUUUCAGCAUCGACGAAGCGAAAGUGACGGUAGGUGCAGAAGAAGGACCGGCCAACUACGUGCCAGCCGCCGCGGUAA